AGUAAGGUAGCCUUGUAACUAUGAUUGGACACGAGGUGGACUCGGCAUAAGGCGCAUGAUGGAAGAUUGUACAGCGCAGUUCGCGGGAAAAAGAAGGCUUAGCUCCAGGGUACCUGGGAGACCAAAUAGGGGUGGAGAAGAGAAAUUAGAAGCUUGGCAUGGUGUGUGGCAGAGGAAGCUUGUCUUUUCGUUUUAGCAAGUGAAGAAAAUGGGAAGCGAGCCAAAAAAACAAGGCCAACGGCGAAGGAUUCAAGUCAAGAGUAAAUCGUACUUGCAUGGUGCGGACACAAAGCAUGUCAUAGCUGGCAUGGGCAUCAUCACUCUUGUCUUUGGUGUCCCUUGGUACCUCAUAAACAGAGGUUGGUUUUCUUUUCUUUUGACUCUCUACCAUAUAUCUAUGUGGGUUGCUUUAAUAUCAGUUUUGGAUUGGUGGUUCAAUGAUGAAAAGGAAAGGAGAAGUGAGAGGAAGUGAAAGUUAGAAUCUUUUUGCAGUUUUCUUUACUGGGUCGUUAGCAUGGCGAUGCUGCUUUUUGUUAAUUUUUGUUUGCAAAAUGGAAAGUAUAUUUUCAAAAUUUUAGAUUUCUUUUUCUUGUACUGAUUGGGAAGAUGAUCGACGGUUGAGUUACAGAGAAGUAUUGCUUUGUGUUAAAGAGUUAAUUACUCAAAGUGCUGCUGCUGUUGGGUUUGAUUUGUUUGGUUCCUAAAGAAUGUUGCCGAGCAGGAAAGUUUUUCGACUUUCCUGCUUCUUUCUCUUUGUUUUCCUUGCUUGUUGAUGAUAUUUUAUCAGGGUUGAUUUUUUA